rnacentral:rRNA from 1 species
UACGUAGGGUGCGAGCGUUGCCCGGAUUUAUUGGGCGUAAAGGGCGCGUAGGCGGUCACGCACGUCCGUUGUGAAAUCGCUCGGCUCAACUGGGCGGGGUCAGCGGAUACGGUGUGACUGGAGCAAGCUAGGGGGCAAUGGAAUUCCCGGUGUAGUGGUGGAAUGCGUAGAUAUCGGGAGGAACACCAGUGGCGAAGGCGGUUGCCUGGAGCUUUGCUGACGCUGAUGCGCGAAAGCGUGGGGAGCGAUCCGG